rnacentral:rRNA from 1 species
CACCGCGGUUAUACGAAAGACCCCAGUUGAUAGACACGGCGUAAAGGGUGGUUAAGGGUAUAAAAAAUAAAGCUAAAGACCUUCUAAGCCGUCAUACGCACCCCGAAGAUACGAAAUCCAAAUACGAAAGUAGCUUUAAAUAAAACUUUACCUGACCCCACGAAAGCUAAGAAA